rnacentral:snRNA from 1 species
GUGCUCACUUCAGCAGCACAGAUACCAAAAAUCGACAUGAUGUAGGCUAGCGUGGCCCCUGAGCAAAGAUGACACGCAAGUUUUUGAAAUAUUUCAUAUUAAG